rnacentral:rRNA from 1 species
GGGGAAUUUUCCGCAAUGGGCGAAAGCCUGACGGAGCAAUACCGCGUGAGGGAGGAAGGUUUUUGGAUUGUAAACCUCUUUUUUAAAGGAAGAAGAAAGUGACGGUACUUUAAGAAUCAGCAUCGGCUAACUCCGUGCCAGCAGCCGCGGUAAUACGGAGGAUGCAAGCGUUAUCCGGAAUCAUUGGGCGUAAAGCGUCCGCAGGUGGCUGUUCAAGUCUGCUGUUAAAGACAGAAGCUCAACUUCUGAACAGCAGUGGAAACUGGACGGCUAGAGUACGGUAGGGGUUGAGGGAAUUCCCAGUGUAGCGGUGAAAUGCGUAGAUAUUGGGAAGAACACCAGUGGCGAAGGCGCUCAACUGGACCGUAACUGACACUCAGGGACGAAAGCUAGGGUAGCGAAAGGGAUUAGAUACCCCUG